UUGAUCGGUGACGUUUUCUUGUAUUUAGGAAAAUUAAGGGGUAAGUACUAUUUGUACUCAUGUUUUAAUAGUUUAGAUUUUAUAAUAUUUUCACAUAUAUUAAAAAAACAGAAUAAUUUAUUGUUAUAAAUAUUUGUUUUUGUAAUACCAGUUUUGAAUAACUUUAUCCAAUAUCAAUUCAAUUAAUUCAAUUAAUUUUUUUUUAAUUUACAAUUUCGCAUAGUAAAUAUAAAAAGGUCAUUUUUAUGGUAUAUAUUUUCUAAUGUUGGCCGGACAGAUAUAGUAUAUAUUUCCUUCGUAGUUAAUGUGUAUAAGUUGUUUGCCUUGGUCAUGGUUUAUUACUAGUAAUUAAAUACAGGUGCAUUUAAGCAGAUCAUUUAAUUAGAAGCACUGUAUUAACCCUCCUCCAUCAGUAAUGUCUAGAGAAGAUAAAACAAAUUAAAAUGCGUCCCAACCGCAUUUAUCUAUAGAUUCAUUGGAUUCGAUUAGGCGCCUGGUCAUAAGAAAUAGUAAUCUAUAUAUAAUAGCAAACUCGCAUUCUGUAUCCGAUGACAUCAACUUUUUUAUAGUAAAAUAAAAAUAAGAUCAUACGGUUGAGAUUAUUAAUGCUAUGCAAUCUAAC
rnacentral:lncRNA from 1 species